rnacentral:rRNA from 1 species
AGUGAACGCUGGCGGUAGGCCUAACACAUGCAAGUCGAACGGCAGCACAGUAAGAGCUUGCUCUUACGGGUGGCGAGUGGCGGAUGGGUGAGGAAUACAUCGGAAUCUACUUUUUCGUGGGGGAUAACGUAGGGAAACUUACGCUAAUACCGCAUACGACCUACGGGUGAAAGCAGGGGAUCUUCGGACCUUGCGCGAUUGAAUGAGCCGAUGUCGGAUUAGCUAGUUGGCGGGGUAAAGGCCCACCAAGGUGACGAUCCGUAGCUGGUCUGAGAGGAUGAUCAGCCACACUGGAACUGAGACACGGUCCAGACUCCUACGGGAGGCAGCAGUGGGGAAUAUUGGACAAUGGGCGCAAGCCUGAUCCAGCCAUACCGCGUGGGUGAAGAAGGCCUUCGGGUUGUAAAGCCCUUUUGUUGGGAAAGAAAAGCAGCAGGUUAAUACCCCGCUGUUCUGACGGUACCCAAAGAAUAAGCACCGGCUAACUUCGUG